rnacentral:rRNA from 1 species
UACAGAGGGUGCGAGCGUUGUCCGGAAUCACUGGGCGUAAAGGGCGCGUAGGUGGCGCCCCAAGUCGAUGGUGAAAGCUCGCCGCUCAACGGCGAGUCGGCCACCGAUACUGGGGGGCUUGAGCACUGUAGAGGCAGAUGGAAUUCCGGGUGUAGCGGUGGAGUGCGUAGAGAUCCGGAAGAACACCGGUGGCGAAGGCGGUCUGCUGGGCAGUUGCUGACACUGAGGCGCGAAAGCGUGGGGAGCAAACAGG